rnacentral:rRNA from 1 species
UACGAGGGGGGCAAGCGUUGUUCGGAAUUAUUGGGCGUAAAGGGCGCGUAGGCGGUUUGACAAGUCUGAUGUGAAAUCUAUGGGCUCAACUCAUAGUCUGCAUUAGAAACUGUCGGGCUUGAGUAUGGGAGAGGUGAGUGGAAUUUCCGGUGUAGCGGUGAAAUGCGUAGAUAUCGGAAGGAACACCUGUGGCGAAAGCGGCUCACUGGACCUAACUGACGCUGAGGCGCGAAAGCUAGGGGAGCAAACAGG